rnacentral:rRNA from 1 species
UACGUAGGGGGCAAGCGUUGUCCGGAUUUAUUGGGCGUAAAGAGCGUGUAGGCGGCCAUGUAGGUCCGUUGUGAAAACUCGAGGCUCAACCUCGAGACGCCGAUGGAAACCAUGUGGCUAGAGUCCGGAAGAGGAGAGUGGAAUUCCUGGUGUAGCGGUGAAAUGCGCAGAUAUCAGGAGGAACACCAAUGGCGAAGGCAGCCCGCUGGGACGUGACUGACGCUGAGACACGAAAGCGUGGGUAGCAAACAGG